rnacentral:rRNA from 1 species
UACGGAAGGCAGCAGUGGGGAAUAUUGCACAAUGGGCGCAAGCCUGAUGCAGCCAUGCCGCGUGUAUGAAGAAGGCCUUCGGGUUGUAAAGUACUUUCAGUCGUGAGGAAGGUGUUAAGGUUAAUAACCUUAGCAAUUGACGUUAGCGACAGAAGAAGCACCGGCUAACUCCGUGCCAGCAGCCGCGGUAAUACGGAGGGUGCGAGCGUUAAUCGGAAUUACUGGGCGUAAAGGGCACGCAGGCGGUUAAUUAAGUUGGAUGUGAAAUCCCCGGGCUUAACCUGGGAAUGGCAUUCAAGACUGGUUAGCUAGAGUCUUGUAGAGGGGGUAGAAUUCCGAUGUGUAGCGGUGAAAUGCGUAGAGAUGUGGAGGAAUACCGGUGGCGAAGGCGGCCCCUGGACAAGACUGACGCUCAUGUGCGAAAGCGUGGGGAGCAAAC